rnacentral:rRNA from 1 species
GACGAACGCUGGCGGCGUGCUUAACACAUGCAAGUCGAACGGAAAGGCCCUGCUUUUGUGGGGUGCUCGAGUGGCGAACGGGUGAGUAACACGUGAGUAACCUGCCCUUGACUUUGGGAUAACUUCAGGAAACUGGGGCUAAUACCGGAUAGGAGCUCCUGCUGCAUGGUGGGUGUUGGAAAGUUUCGGCGGUUGGGGAUGGACCCGCGGCUUAUCAGCUUGUUGGUGGGGUAGUGGCUUACCAAGGCUUUGACGGGUAGCCGGCCUGAGAGGGUGACCGGCCACAUUGGGACAGAGAUACGGGCCGGAGUCCUACGGGAGGCAGAAGUGGGGAAUAUUGCACAAUGGGCGGAAGCCUGAUGCAGCAACGCCGCGUGCGGGAUGACGGCCUUCGGGUUGGAAACCGCUUUCGCCUGGGACGAAGCGUGAGUGACGGUAAUGGGUAAAGAAGCACCGGCUAACUACGUG